GACGAACGCUGGCGGCGUGCUUAACACAUGCAAGUCGAACGGAAAGGCCCUGCUUUUGUGGGGUGCUCGAGUGGCGAACGGGUGAGUAACACGUGAGUAACCUGCCCUUGACUUUGGGAUAACUUCAGGAAACUGGGGCUAAUACCGGAUAGGAGCUCCUGCUGCAUGGUGGGGGUUGGAAAGUUUCGGCGGUUGGGGAUGGACUCGCGGCUUAUCAGCUUGUUGGUGGGGUAGUGGCUUACCAAGGCCUUGACGGGUAGCCGGCCUGAGAGGGUGACCGGACACAUUGGGACUGAGAUACGGCCCAGAGUGAUACGGGAGGCAGCAGUGGGGAAUAUUGCACAAUGGGCGGAAGCCUGAUGCAGGAACGCCGCGUGCGGGAUGACGGCUUUAGGGUUGUAAACCGUUUUCGCCUGUGACGAAGCGUGAGUGACGGUAAUGGGUAAAGAAGCACCGGCUAACUACGUG
rnacentral:rRNA from 1 species